rnacentral:tRNA from 1 species
GGGCGAUUAGUUCAAAGGUAGAACGCUCGACUGUUAAUCGACAUAUGUUGGUUCGAUUCCAGCAUUGCCCUCCA